GGUCAAGUUCCAUGCGGCUUCGCCUAUCCCAACUCCGCCAGGUUCGGAAGAAAGCAACGGUCAGAUAGUGUGGAGUGCGCGUGGCAAACUUGGCCGUU
rnacentral:SRP_RNA from 1 species